rnacentral:rRNA from 1 species
CCUACGGGUGGCAGCAGUGAGGAAUAUUGGUCAAUGGACGCAAGUCUGAACCAGCCAUGCCGCGUGCAGGAAGACGGCUCUAUGAGUUGUAAACUGCUUUUGUACGAGGGUAAACGCAGAUACGCGUAUCUUUCUGAAAGUAUCCUACGAAUAAGGAUCGGCUAACUCCGUGCCAGCAGCCGCGGUAAUACGGAGGAUUCAAGCGUUAUCCGGAUUUAAUGGGUUUAAAGGGUGCGUAGGCGGUCGGAUAAGUUAGAGGUGAAAUCCCGAGGCUCAACUUCGGAAUUGCCUCUGAUACUGUUCGGCUAGAGAGUAGUUGAGGUAGGCGGAAUGCAUGGUGUAGCGGUGAAAUGCGUAGAGAUCAUGCAGAACACCGAUUGCGAAGGCAGCUUACCAAGCUACUACUGACGUUGAGGCACGAAAGCGUGGGGAGCAAACAGGAUUAGAUACCCGGGUAGUC